rnacentral:rRNA from 1 species
AGCAGCCGCGGUAAUUCCAGCUCCAAUAGCGUAUAUUAAAGUUGUUGCAGUUAAAAAGCUCGUAGUUGAAUUUCGGGAUCAGAUUGUCGGUCGUGCCUCGGUACGCACUGGCAUUAUUGGUUCCUACCUUCUGAAGAACCGCGAUGUCAUUAAUUUGGUGUCGUGGGGAAUCAGGACUGUUACUUUGAAAAAUUAGAGUGUUUAAAGCAGGCGCACGCUUGAAUACAUUAGCAUGGAAUAAUGAAAUAGGACGUUUGAUUCUAUUUUGUUGGUUUCUAGGAUCGACGUAAUGAUUAAUAGGGAUAGUUGGGGGCAUUAGUAUUCAAUUGUCAGAGGUGAAAUUCUUGGAUUUAUUGAAGACUAACUACUGCGAAAGCAUUUGCCAAGGAUGUUUUCAUUAAUCAAGAACGAAAGUUAGGGGAUCGAAGACGAUCAGAUACCGUCGUAGUCUUAACCAUAAACUAUGCCGACUAGGGAUCGGAUGAUGUUAAUUUUUAAUGACUCAUUCGGCGCCUUACGG